GUGGUUAGGGCGUUCUUGAAGGGCAUGGAAGAGGCCAGCAAGUUGCUGCCUAGAAACAACAGCUUCAGAAUGCUGGAGACGGUGGAUCAAGUAUCAAGUCAUGGUCAUUGUAGGGGAGGAAAGAAGAAAAACCAUGACAGGGAUGAGCAGCAGCUGGAGGAGGAACUGGGGAGGAGCAGUAAAUUAGCUGCCAUGACGAAUGCAGGGACGGAGGAGGCUGGUGCUCGCGAGUUGCUGGACGAACUGAUGCUGCACUCGCACGAGACAUGCAUCAAAGACAUGGAGAAGCUGCGCAUCGACAUGGACAAUGAGGCAGAUAAGACCAUCAAAAAGAAGGGCAAGAAAGGCAGUAGUAGCAAGGUGGUGGACUUACGGAUGCUGCUGAUCCAGUGUGCACAGGCCAUGGCGACAGACAACCAGCAAUCUGCAGGCGAGCUGCUGAAGAAGAUCAAGCAGCACGCUUUGGCAACA
rnacentral:lncRNA from 1 species